rnacentral:rRNA from 1 species
GACGAACGCUGGCGGCGUGCUUAACACAUGCAAGUCGAACGGAAAGGCCCUGCUUUUGUGGGGUGCUCGAGUGGCGAACGGGUGAGUAACACGUGAGUAACCUGCCCUUGACUUUGGGAUAACUUCAGGAAACUGGGGCUAAUACCGGAUAGGAGCUCCUGCUGCAUGGUGGGGGUUGGAAAGUUUCGGCGGUUGGGGAUGGACUCGCGGCUUAUCAGCUUGUUGGUGGGGUAGUGGCUUACCAAGGCUUUGACGGGUAGCCGGCCUGAGAGGGUGACCGGCCACAUUGGGACUGGGAUACGGCCCAGACUCCUACGGGGGGCAGCAGUGGGGAAUAUUGCACAAGGGGCGGAAGCCUGAUGCAGCAACGCCGGGGGGGGGAUGACGGCCUUCGGGUUGUAAACCGCUUUCGCCUGUGACGAAGCGUGAGUGACGGAAAUGGGUAAAAAAGCACCGGCUAACUACGG